CCAACCGGGUGCCACCGGCCUGUCAUUCUGAGAGCAGUUCCACAACCUGAACGCCCCUGGGCGCAGCGGAUGCCCGUGCAGGCUCCUCUGAUACACAGCCCUCUGGGGAGAGGGCCGGAUCAUCCUGCAGCCCACAGCUCUGGGGCCCCCAGAAAAACCUACCAGAAGAGGCUGGAGGCGAGAGGGUCUGAAGGCUGCUGGCUGACGUGAAAGGGCCCAAGUCUUCUCUACAUAGGAUCCCCCUCUCUCCUCGGUGACUCCUGAACCAGCCUCUGUGGAUUGCCUGAGGAGCCGAGACCCCGAUGUCUUCCGUGCCAGGCCAAAGGCUGGCCCUCAAGCUCUAAUCCUCAGCCUAGGUCCCUCACCUGAAUCCAGGUGGUUGCCAAGCAUGGCUCAGAUGCUCCGAGGGCUCACUUGCAGGCUGGGAAGAGUGGAAGUUCCCUGAGGUCAGACGCCCUGCCUAUGAGAUCACUGUGUAUCUGUGCCCAGGACUUGGCAUACAGCAAGGCUCAGUAAGCACCCAG